CCCCUCUUGACCUUUCCUCCUCUUAACUGUUUGUCCACUUUGGCAGCAAUGCUCCAUGGUCUUGGAAAGAUGUACUUGGGAUGCUCCAAAGCAGCUGGAGAUUGCUGAGGCUGCAGGGCCGUAGUCAGGCCAAGGCAGCGAGUGUGGCAUGGCUCAAAUCCCUGGCCAUGCCCGGCAGCCUUUCACAGCGGAACCCUCUGUGUGGCAGUGCAUGUUUUUUGAGUUUACUGUUUUAUGUAAGAUUUAGUUGUAAAGGUUCAGUUCUAUGUAUCCCUACCUUCCCCCCCUAAUUAAUAUUCCUUUGUCCCUCUCCUCCAUCACGAGGUGUCUGCACCUGUUCCCUUCGGUUAAUUGUCAGUUAUCUUUCCCGCCUUGAGUUUUCCCCUCCCAGUUAUCUUUAAUUGGUACGAAGCACCCUUUUCCCCCUCUGUUCUCCCUAGAGAUUGUACACCAUUGGCUGGAGGCGGCCAACCCCACCCCCUUUUUCCCGCUUUCUCUGCUCCCCUUAAAACCCUGUGUUGAUUCAAAGUCUGGGUCCAGAAAACGGCUCAGAGUUGAGUUAAUAAACUCUCUGCUGCUCUAUUCGCUGGAUCCUCCUUUCCUUCCUCUGCCUCGCCACUUUUCCACCCCCUCUCAAGCUCCUACGGGGUGUAGCACCUGCCGGAGCUGACUGUCCCACGCGGCGUGCGGCUGGCUUCAGAGUGCGCCUUGUCCCGGUGCUUGGGCUGGCUCGGGGUGACCCCCAGUGGUUCUUUAGAGGCACCGCGGCAAAGCGUCUGGCGCCCACCGUGCGGGGCGACGGACGGACCCCCCCCACGGACGGAGUUACCGGGGCUCGGACUAGGAGCCGACCCCUCGAAAAGAACUCCUGGCCGUCACGCAGCCUCGGCGUGAGCUGCCUCUUCAGAGGACGUGCUCCCCGAGGACGGGAAGGCAGCACCCUGUAUUGCACUCAUACACGGUGUCUUCCCACCGCAGAGGAACCCCCGAAGACCGGCUUUUCGCACCCGCGCCGGGUUUGGUUACACCUCACGAGGAGCCUCCACCUACGGGACAGGGAUUGGCAUCAGGUCACCUUAAAUCCAAAGGAGCUGAAAGACUGGCCACUGGCGAAGGAAGUUUGUUUUGUAGGUCCUACCCAUCCCAAGCCAACAUGCAGACCAUCCACCUCAUCAUCGUGAUCACUAGCCUCCUGACAACCAGUCAAGCCUGGCUUGUGCCACAGCCCGAUGCGAAUGUGUGGACCACGCUGGCGCGGUCCUUAGACCAGGAUCACAUCUGCCUCAACCAGGCCAGUGCCUCGGACCCGAUCUCCUCCUGCCUCGUGGGGAUCCCUUUUCAAAAACAUGAAUUGCCCGAGAAGCUGCUUUAUUAUGCCCGCCGUUUAGAUAAUAUCAAGCCCCGUGUGAGUCCUUUUAUUAGUUGGAGGAAAUUCUUUUUUCCGUUUAGAAAAUUCAAAAGAUGAACCCCAGGAGCUGGAACUCCUUGGUUCAGCCAAAGCCCGGUUUUGCAUCCACUUCACCAAUGAGGCAAAUGCCCUUAACCCCAAGACAAAAAAUGUAGUUCAGUCAAAUUCCCUAUAUCACGCCAGAUCGUGGUGUCAGGGAAUGGAGCACUCCCCCCUCAAGUUUACAAUAACCCCCAAAAAUUGCCAAAAGGUGUUUUUUUGAUUUGCGGGACCCAUGCUUGGGCAGGCAUCCCCUCUCACCUUUCAGGAGGUCCGUGCACCUUAGGGAAAUUGGGACUGUUUUCACCUAACAAAACCCAAAUUAUGGAUUGGAAGCAAAAGAAAAACGGUGCACAUAAAUCGGCUAUUUCUAAAAGAGAUUUGAAGAAUUUGGACCCAAACUGCGAUUCGGAAAUUGUACAUUGGAGUAAGUCUAAAGGAGUCGCAGUUACUAUAUUUGCCCCCUGGGUUUCAAUUGCCAAGAAUAUGGGGGAAUUGGCACCCUUAGGGCAAACAGUCAAAGUUGACUUCCAAGGCCCUAUAUAACCUCCUGCAAGAUGAGGAUUUAACGAGGCAGGCCACCCUCCAAAAUCGGGCGGCCAUAGAUUACCUCUUGCUCCUCCACGGGCAUACCUGUGAGGAGUUCGAGGGUCUAUGUUGUUUUAACUUGUCGAGCCGGGCUGAGGACACUAAGCAGAUCUUGCGACAGAUGCAAGAUACGGUCGGGCAGAUAAAAAAAGAAACAUCAGACUGAUUAACUAACAUCUUCAGUGGCUGGGGGCUCUCUGGGUGGUUAGGAUCCAUCUUAAGGACCAUUUUGUUAUUUAUGUUCAUCAUUUUAUUAAUCCUGGUGGCCUUCAGACUAAUUAGAAAGAUGAUGUUUAAAUUGAUUUCCAGUGCCACUUCUUCCCCCUCUCCAGAAGUUAAUUUCACAGCGGUGUCAGAUGACCCUGAAGAAAUGGACUUAGAAGGCUCCGAAGGCUAUCCGGAGUCCGAAUACCUUCCUGACCCACCGCAGCCUUUUUCAUCUUAAUUAAAAGGGGGAGAUGUGGCAGUGCAUGUUUUUUGAGUUUACUGUUUUAUGUAAGAUUUAGUUGUAAAGGUUCAGUUCUAUGUAUCCCUACCUUCCCCCCCUAAUUAAUAUUCCUUUGUCCCUCUCCUCCAUCAUGAGGUGUCUGCACCUGUUCCCUUCGGUUAAUUGUCAGUUAUCUUUCCCACCUUGAGUUUUCCCCUCCCAGUUAUCUUUAAUUGGUACGAAGCACCCUUUUCCCCCUCUGUUCUCCCUAGAGAUUGUACACCAUUGGCUGGAGGCGGCCAACCCCACCCCCUUUUUCCCGCUUUCUCUGCUCCCCUUAAAACCCUGUGUUGAUUCAAAGUCUGGGUCCAGAAAACGGCUCAGAGUUGCGUUAAUA